rnacentral:rRNA from 1 species
UACAGAGGGUGCGAGCGUUAAUCGGAAUUACUGGGCGUAAAGCGUGCGUAGACGGUUAUUUAAGUCGGGUGUGAAAGCCCCGGGCUCAACCUGGGAAUUGCAUUCGAGACUGAAUAGCUAGGGUACGGUAGAGGGAAGUGGAAUUUCCGGUGUAGCGGUGAAAUGCGUAGAUAUCGGAAGGAACAUUAGUGGCGAAAGCGACUUCCUGGACCAGUAACGACGUUCAGGCACGAAAGCGUGGGGAGCAAACAGG